rnacentral:rRNA from 1 species
UUGUGGAGCGAUUUGUCUGGUCAAUUCCGAUAAUAAACGAGACUAGCCUACUAAAUAGUUCGAGGACCCCCACAAAGGGGUCCAGCUUAAACUUCUUGGAGGGUACAGGUGGCGUUUAGCCACACGAGAUUGAGCAAUAACA